rnacentral:tRNA from 1 species
GCCUCUGUAACUCAGUUGGUUACAGCGCUGCACCGGAAUCGCAGGGCCGUAGGUUCAAUUCCUACCAGAGGAC